ACAAAUAUCUGUUUUAUAUAAUCUAGAAAUUCUUGGAAGCCAAGAAUCCCUUAAUAUUGUCCUGAAAAGAUUUUCCCAUGUGAUUAAAAACAUUUAUACCAGUUUGGUACAGAGCAUACAGUUAUACAGUUACACGCAGGUUACCAUGUUGAAGGCCCUAUUUAAGGUAUUAGUACUUGUAUACCUAAUGAGUACGACGAAGACGAAGGCCUGUGACUGUGAUCCUGACAUAUCUUUCAAUGCAGUAUCCCAUGUCCAGUUUAAGGAUAGUUCUCGAGCCGGUCGAUGUGAGGCUGGACAGAGACUUGACGAGUCCGGCCGAUGCAUACUUUGCCCUAACGGCACCUUUCUGACCACCAGCAUGGCUAAGAUUGGCCGGAACCAAGAGUGCCUAAUUUGCCACGAACCAAACAUUACAAGAGAAGAGGUAAUACAAGCCUGUACACCAACCGAGGAUACCAAAGUGAAGUGUUC
rnacentral:sRNA from 1 species